GCCAGAGUGGCAUAGUGGUUUGAGUGUUGAAUUACAAAUCUGGAGACCAGGGUUCAAUUCUCAGCCCAGCCA